CCAAGGAUGUUUUCAUUAAUCAAGAACGAAAGUUAGGGGAUCGAAGACGAUCAGAUACCGUCGUAGUCUUAACCAUAAACGAUGCCGACCAGCGAUUAGGAGACGUUGAAUACAAAACACCACCAUCGGUGCGGUCGUCCUUGGCGUCUCGGUCCUUCACGGGGCCGGGGCGCGGGGGCGGCUUAGCCCGGUGGCACCGGUGAAU
rnacentral:rRNA from 1 species